ensembl:snRNA U1 U1 spliceosomal RNA
AUACUUACCUGGCAGGGGAGAUACCAUGAUCACGAAGGUGGUUUUCCCAGGGCCAGGCUUAUCCAUAGCACUCCGGAUGUUCUGACCCCUGUGAUUUCCCCAAAUGUGGGAAACUUGACAGCAUAAUUUGUGGUAGUGGGGAACUGCAUUCUUGCUCUCCCCUU